rnacentral:lncRNA from 1 species
CUCCUUUCUCUGUCAUCAUAACCCUUAUGGGCAUUUGGAUUUGUGAUGCCUGCUCUAUACCAGCCAAUGACACUUAAGCGGCCAAGUAGUUUACAAGCAUUAAGGAAUCAUCACU